rnacentral:SRP_RNA from 1 species
GCCGGGCGUGGUGGCGGGCGCCUGUAGUCCCAGCUACUCGGGAGGCUGAGUCAGGAGAAUGGCUUGAGCCCAGGAGGCGGAGGUUGCAGUGAGCCGAGAUUGCACCACUACACUCCAGCCUGGGCAACAGAGCAAGACUCUGUCUCAA